GAUGAGGCUACCAGGAGAGAACAGAGAAGAAAAGACAUUCUGAAAAAGGAAAAGAUGAGAGUUCUUAUGGAAAAAUGUGCCUUGGGAAAAAUUACAAUACUUCAGCAAGGAGCACACAGGCCGCAUCUGUCCUGGGGCUCAUUUGUCUUUCUUCCACCUCCUCCACAGUUAGAGGCUCCUGAACUACAAUGGCAACGAUUGAAGAAACUGUUGUUGAAGAGUCCACGCCAAAUUCUCAGUAUGUCACCGAAGACAAGGACAUUUUGGAUAGAACCUGGCUGCUAAUCCACUCUUGUCAGGAGGGAAGAUUUUUUUCUCUUUCUGUAGUGAGCAACAAGGCCACUUGAUGAAGAAGCUGAGGUUCAUGGAAGCUAAAUAACUUGCCCACAGGGCAUAACUAGUAGGCAGCUAAGCUAGGACUUCAACCGAGGUCUGUAAGACUUAAAGCACAUGCUUUUCCUGCUCCUCAAUAGCUUUCCUGCUAAGCACCAAGAGACUCUAGGCUGCCAGGAACAUCACAGCAGAGACCACUGUCAAUCAAUGCAUCUCCACCGUCUUUUAGACUUUCUUUUGAAGAAAGAUUUAGCUGCUAAAAGAUGAAUAUACGAAAAGGAUAAUACUACCAUAUUUCAUCAUAUUGGCUCGUUUUAAUACAAGAAGACUCAUCCGGCUUAAACAUCUGAUGUUUAAGAAGCUAACCAGCAAGCUGCUCUCUGGGAAUGCAUACCAUCAGGUAUGGAUCAGUGGCCCUGAGAUCAUGUUCAUAACUCAGCAGCUUUGUACAAGCUGUCAAGACUCAGAACAUGAUACCCCAAAGUAUGGCACCUUGGUGUGCUGAGUACUGUGGACUGAAGGACAUCGGAAAGGUCUCAGAAGCAAUGUCUCUUCGACCUUCUCCCAACCUCCUGUCUCCUACCUGUCUUUCUCCCAUGAAGUGAGUCAUGGCAACCAUCAUUCCUCUUUCCCAAGGUGUGUCACAGAAACUAGAACCCCUCUCCUCCAAGGAAGCCGUGAAACCUAGAAAGGUCACUGUCUGCCUUCCCCCUUCUCCCUUGAAGACCCUCGUUCCAGAGGGGCCCUGCCCCAUAUUCAGGAGGGUUACACAAAGAGGUUAAGAAGAAUUUGAACAUUCAGGCCUUGCUGGGUUCCCUGCUCAGUCUAUCAGCAUUAGAUCACACCCUUUAGUCCAUCACAUUUCUACACCGCUGUCCAUUCUUCGUCAAACCGAAGAAUAAAAAAAGUUUUCCCUGGGU
rnacentral:antisense_RNA from 1 species